UGAUGCAGCGAGCCGCGUGAGCGAGAAGUAUUUCGGUAUGUAAAGCUCUAUCAGCAGGGAAGAAAAUGACGGUACCUGACUAAGAAGCACCGGCUAAAUACGUGCCAGCAGCCGCGGUAAUACGUAUGGUGCAAGCGUUAUCCGGAUUUACUGGGUGUAAAGGGAGCGUAGACGGUUGUGUAAGUCUGAUGUGAAAGCCCGGGGCUCAACCCCGGGACUGCAUUGGAAACUAUGUAACUAGAGUGUCGGAGAGGUAAGCGGAAUUCCUAGUGUAGCGGUGAAAUGCGUAGAUAUUAGGAGGAACACCAGUGGCGAAGGCGGCUUACUGGACGAUCACUGACGUUGAGGCUCGAAAGCGUGGGGAGCAAACAGGAUUAGAUACCCUGGUAGUCCACGCCGUAAACGAUGACUACUAGGUGUCGGGGAGCAAAGCUCUUCGGUGCCGCAGCAAACGCAAUAAGUAGUCCACCUGGGGAGUACGUUCGCAAGAAUGAAAC
rnacentral:rRNA from 1 species